GAGUUUGAUCCUGGCUCAGGAUGAACGCUAGCGGCAAGCCUAACACAUGCAAGUCGAACGGUAACAGAGAAGAGCUUGCUCUUUUGCUGACGAGUGGCGCACGGGUGCGUAACGCGUAUACAAUCUACCUUUUACAGGGGGAUAGCCUUUAGAAAUGAAGAUUAAUAUCCCAUAGUAAGUUAUCAUGGCAUCAUGGUUACUUUAAAGCUUCGGCGGUAAAAGAUGAGUAUGCGUUCUAUUAGCUAGAUGGUGUGGUAACGGCACACCAUGGCAACGAUAGAUAGGGGCCCUGAGAGGGGGACCCCCCACACUGGUACUGAGACACGGACCAGACUCCUACGGGAGGCAGCAGUGAGGAAUAUUGGACAAUGGGCGAGAGCCUGAUCCAGCCAUGCCGCGUGCAGGAAGACUGCCCUAUGGGUUGUAAACUGCUUUUAUAUAGGAAGAAACCUUUCCACGUGUGGAAAGCUGACGGUACUAUAAGAAUAAGGAUCGGCUAACUCCGUGCCAGCAGCCGCGGUAAUACGGAGGAUCCAAGCGUUAUCCGGAAUCAUUGGGUUUAAAGGGUCCGUAGGUGGAUAAUUAAGUCAGAGGUGAAAGUUUGCAGCUCAACUGUAAAAUUGCCUUUGAUACUGGUUAUCUUGAAUUAUUGUGAAGUGGUUAGAAUAUGUAGUGUAGCGGUGAAAUGCAUAGAUAUUACAUAGAAUACCAAUUGCGAAGGCAGAUCACUAACAAUAUAUUGACACUGAUGGACGAAAGCGUGGGGAGCGAACAGGAUU
rnacentral:rRNA from 1 species